CCUACGGGAGGCAGCAGUGGGGAAUCUUGCACAAUGGGGGAAACCCUGAUGCAGCAACGCCGCGUGAGUGAAGCAGGUUUUCGGAUCGUAAAGCUCUGUUAGCAGGGAAGAGGAAGGACGGUACCUGCAGAGGACGCCACGGCUAACUACGUGCCAGAAGCCGCGGGAAGACGUAGGUGGCAAGCGUUGUUCGGAAUAACUGGGCGUAAAGGAUGCGUAGGCGGUUAACCAAGUAAUAUGGUAAAUAUAUAGGCUUAACCUGUAGAAAGCAUAUAAAACUGGUUAACUAGAGUGCAGGAGAGGUAAGUGGAAGUCGUAGUGUAGCGGUGAAAUGCGUAGAGAUUAGGAAGAACACCAGUGGCGAAGGCGACUCACUGGACUGUAACUGACGCUGAGGCAUGAGAGCAUGGGGAGCAAACAGGAUUAGAUACCCCAGUAGUC
rnacentral:rRNA from 1 species